UAAAUUUUAGGAUAAUUGUUUUUGGAAUUAAUUAAUAAUUAAGUUUUUCAUGUAACCCAGAAGGGGUCUUCUGCGAGGGUUGUCCGUAAAAUCUCAUUAGUACCUUAAAAUUCACAAUUAACUAAAUUUAGGUUAUUUCUCGUAUUCGGUUUCCAUUGGUUCCCUCAAGGACACGUCAGCCACGCCACCUGUCAGAGAAUCAUAGACUAAAUAGCUAAAAUUCAAAUUAAAAAAGUUUCGAGUCACAGCCAUGGAUGGACGAGGAAAACGACAAGUUCUAAUGAUAUCAUCACCUCAGGAUUGUGAACUCCAUCCAUCUUCACUGUACAAUAAAUUGAAUGGACCCAACAAUACAGAUCUAUCAAAAUGGGCCCUACCUUAGAUAAUAACUUUCCCUAUUGGUAAUAAGCAACGACGCUACGAACAAAGCAACUAAAAUUGAAAAGUUCGGAAUGAAAUAAUAACAUAUUAGCCCUUAAAUUCUGAAAAAAAUACAAAUAGGAAUAUAGCAUGUAAUUAUCUUGUCAUUAGAGUUCCUACCUUUUUUUUUUCUUUUUCAAUUAAUAACAUUUGCUACUCGUACAAAACAUGUCGAAUAUUAGACUUAUAUGAGCAUUAUUAUAUACUUUUUAGAUGUAUGAGUCUAUUUUGAGUUAUAUU
rnacentral:lncRNA from 1 species